ensembl:lncRNA novel transcript
AGGCUUCUGCCUGGAAACAGUAGGCGGUGGUGUGUGUGGUGGAUCCUUCACCAGUGGUUAAUCUUCUUGAUGCUGAUCUGAUAUCCCAUCAGGGCCCUGGAUCCCAAGACUCAGCAUCCAAGGUCCCCUCCAGGAAUCCUGGCAGCUCAGCAUACUUUAUCCUGUUUCAUCUGAGAGCAAAAAUGUAAAAUUGGAUGCACAGAAAAGUGACUCAAAGUGCUUAAUGACUAGAAGAAAUCUAGGAGCAGCAAGAAGACAACGCCAUUAUUGACGAGAUCACUCCCAAGCGGAUUGGAGAUUGUCCCAAUACUUAGACCUAUAGCAAGGCCUUGGGAGAAAUGGUGGUGCAGCAGGAGAGCAGGAACCUAACCAUUGCCAUCCUAAGGCCCUCCAUUGUGCGGAGCAACGUCGCACCAGCUUUUCCUGGGUUGGGUUGAUAAUCUAAAUGGAUGUAGCUGACUCAUUAUUGCGGCUGGGAAAGGGUUUCUUCUGUCCAUAAAAGCUACUCCAAUGGCUGUGGGAGACUUAAUUCCAAUUCCAGGUGAUACAGCCGUCAAUCUCCCACUAGCUGUAGGAUGGUGUGUGUGCUGCAGUUCACAGGGCAAAGGAGAUAGAAGUGGAUGAAAUGAGAGAAUUUUCUUUAAUUGAACUCUGGUUAAUGCCAAAAGUGUUCAAUCACUAUGUGUGGGGAAGUUUCCUGGUACAAAGGAAAAAAAAACAGACCUAAGUCAGUGUUAGUCUACCACUGUACAUCUGGUAACCUCAAUCCCUGCAACCGGGGCAAAAUGGGUUUCCAGGUCUUGGCAACCUUUGAAAUUCCAAUUCCAUUUGAGAGAGCUUUGACGAGGCCAUAUGCUGAUUUCACCACCAGCAACUUCAGAACCCAGUACUGGAAUGCCAUCAGCCAGCAGGCCCCUGCCAUCAUCUAUGACUUCUAUCUGUGGCUCACUGGAAGGAAACCCAGGCAAGGCCAAGAUGGCUCAAAGAGCAACCAGCCACCUCUGCAGCCUGCCACCUCCUGCUGGCAAGAUUUGUUUUUGCAUCCUGUGAAGAGCCAAGGAGGCACCAGGGCAUAAGUCUACUCACUUAUAUCUGUCUGGAACAUAACGCUUGUUUGUUUUUACAACAAAUAAAAUUGAUCUUGAAUAAAAA